rnacentral:rRNA from 1 species
UACGUAGGUCACAAGCGUUGUCCGGAUUUAUUGGGCGUAAAGGGAGCGCAGGCGGUUUGUUAAGUCUGAUGUGAAAGCCCACGGCUCAACCGUGGAGGUGCAUUGGAAACUGGCAAACUUGAGUGCAGAAGAGGAAAGUGGAAUUCCAUGUGUAGCGGUGAAAUGCGUAGAUAUAUGGAGGAACACCAGUGGCGAAGGCGACUUUCUGGUCUAUUAUUGACGCUGAGGCUCGAAAGCAUGGGUAGCAAACAGGAUUAGAUA